GACGAACGCUGACGGCGUGCUUAACACAUGCAAGUGGAGCGACGAACCAGGCUUCGGCCUGGGGCAAAGCCGCGAACGGGUGAGUAACACGUGGGUAACCUGCCCCGAUGACCGGGACAACCCGGGGAAACCCGGGCUAAUACCGGAUGUGCUCGUACCGCACAAGUGGUGCGAGCAAAGGUAGCUUCGGCUUCCGCAUCGGGAUGGGCCCGCGGCCCAUUAGCUUGUUGGUGAGGCAAAGGCNCACCAAGGCAACGAUGGGUAGCUGGUCUGAGAGGACGAUCAGCCACACUGGGACUGAGACACGGCCCAGACUCCUACGGGAGGCAGCAGUGGGGAAUCUUGCGCAAUGCGCGAAAGCGUGACGCAGCAACGCCGUGUGAGGGAAGAAGGCCUGGUGUAACU
rnacentral:rRNA from 1 species